rnacentral:tRNA from 1 species
GGGCCUGUAGUCCAGUGGUUAAGACGUCGCUCUCACACAGCGGAGAUCCUCGGUUCAAUUCCGAGCAGGCCCA